rfam:Oryza glumipatula chromosome 8, whole genome shotgun sequence.
UUUAAGUAUAACCAUGAGUUUUCGCGCCCAACUUUGAUCGUCAGUUUUAUUUAAAAACUUUUUAUAAUUAAUAUUUUUGUUGUUAUGAGAUUAUAAAACAUGAAUAGUACUUUACUCAUGACUUAUGUUUUUAAAAUUUUUUUAAAAAAAAUUAAAUAAGACAGACGAUCAAAGUUGGAUGUGAAAAACUAUGGCUGUAUUUAAA